AAUAAGAGACAAGUGAGGCGUACAUGCACUUGUGCUUAAUCCCAAAAUCACGUUUUUAGAGAGAGAGAGAGAGAGAGAGAGGGAGAGAGAGAGAGAGAGAGAGAGAGCAGUUCGUGUUUAAGGACUUUUGCGCAUCUACCCGGGGCGUUUGACAUUUACGGACAGCAUCUCCACUCAGUUUCUGCUGCUGCUGAAAAUCAAAUGGCCACCCACCCCCACUCUCUUCUCUUCCUCAAAGCCAUCCGUGCGCACGGCCGGGAGUCCGGUGCUACGCCCCUUGUUACAACCUUAAUCACACACGACCAUAUGGAACUAACUCUCAAUUCUGGCGCCGAGCUAAAACCCAACAGAAGGAGCGGGAUUACUUCAACGCGAUAUUUCAGUGACUUCUUGCUGAACGUGAGAAUGAAUGCUAAAUAUAUCAUGAUGACAUUUCUAUUUACUCAGUGGAGGAAGAGGAAAUUCAAUGAAGGCAACAAUGCAAAUUCAAAACGAGAAAGCGUGAUCAUAGGAAGAAUUUUAAUCACUCUUAUACAGUAAUCAGUUUAGUCGGAUAAUUAGAUUGUAAUCAAGCGGAGGCUGCGCAAACGCGUAAGGGCUUUUCUGCGCCAAAAGUGCGCAAGCACAUCGCUCUCGCCUUGGAUCGCCAUAGUUCACCUUCAUCACUUUUUCCCCAUGUAAACUCUUCACUCCUGCCUCCACAGACCACGCUAUUCAGAGAAAUCUGCACAGUUUCAGUAUGUCAAGAUCCAAAACACACGAUAAUAAAAAACAGCUGGGAUCUAAAAAGAAAUAGCGGACUUUUUCUGCAGUACCACAGACAGCGCGUCAGACUAAGCGUUCUCUUCAAGAACCAUGGACAGCGACACGGUGCCGAACAUGAAGCGUUGAAAUACAUCUUCACAUUCAAUACAUUGAAGUACAAGCAGACAAAAAUAGCAGGACAGCAAAAAUUGUGACAGGAAAAGCACAAAAAAGUACAAGUAUUUGUUUGUUUGUUUGUUCGUUUGUUUGUUUAUAUGGUAGUUUAUUUAUUUGCUUGUUUUUACCCAGUGACUCAGCUUUUUCUAACAGCAAGGGGACGUUCAAUCCACCCGUUUAGUACCAGUUCCCCCCUAAAAUAGGUAUUCUUUUCCCAGAUUUGGAAGUUCACCGGUUAUCACUGAUGAGCUGUUUAAAGUGAAGCUGGACUAAAAUGUCCGGCGCCCGAUAAACUGAAGAGUACAAGCAAAUAUUAAAAUAGUACAUAAUGAUAAAAUUGUAUUUUUGACGUUUGAAGUUUCUGAGAUUCUAUUUAAGGCGUUAAAACUUAUUAGCUUCUCUGGAACAAGAAAAUUCCCCAGAAAAUUCCCUUGCGUUGGAUUAACCAUUUAUACCCAUUUCACCACUCCGAUGUCAGUGUGUCUAGUCUUUGAGCCACUUCUGCUACGGAAUAAGUGCCAGUCUCUUCCGUUUUGCCGUCAGAGCCUGGAGUCACAAUGCGCAAUGAAACAAUGGUAAGAAUGUGUCUCUAAGUAUACAUAUUGCAUAAGGCGGCAGCUGAGACAGACAGAAACCCCCUCGAACUCUGGGAAGGCCCUCGGCAGAUGGAACAAGCUGCUAAAGAACAACAGAAAAGUCUGAAUGAAUAGCUCCAGGCUGGUAUUGUCCGCUGCUUGGUCAUUAUACUGCUUGUGACAGAAAAGACAGUCUUUGUCUACACAGCCCUAAAGCUCGGAAGUUUAGAAACGGGUGCAUCGAGUUAGUUCUUGAAUGUUAUGUAUUGUCUAAUAAAAAGCGUAAAAAAACAAACAAACAAACAAAAAACCCCAAUCAAACCUGUAUUUCAAGUCAGUCUGCUUAAAAGACAUCGCGUUCAGCAUAACAUAACUAGGCGCGCUUAAGAAUUCGAUGUGUAAUAAUUUUACAAAAUCUAUUUUCUGACAUGCGUUGGUUUAUAUAGGAAAGGUCGUGUAACAAAUAGCAUAUGAACAAAAAAAAUCCUGAGGUCACCAAGAAGUCGGAGUGUUUCACAGAAACAAAAACAAAACGUACAACCCAGAAAUACAUUUUCUUUGUCCGUACAUUUCUAGUUCUCGACAGUUAAGAAAACUUUUGGAAACCUAACAUUUCAUGCAAAGUGAUUAUAAAAAAAACUCGGGUGAACGGAGAGAAUGCACAUGUGACUGACCUAAGAAAGUUCCACAGAGCUUCAUUGUUGCGGUCCAGUGUUUCCCAACGCGCGACCGGGCAACGCGCCUAGAAACUAAACUUGUGAGAAAAAAAGUUGUGGCCAGCUGAGUAUAACUUCUGUUUUGGAGCAGGGGUGUGGGCUCGGGGGUGACGCAGUUCCCAUUGAGCAUUCAGCUCAACUCCUAGCCAAUUGCAAUCGCCGCUGAACUCACACAAAGAGCUCGUGGCCUACCGCCGGUAGCAGAAAAGCGAUGGCUUUUCUGACGGCUGUGUCUAUAUUCACAAAACACUAUUUAGCGAGCCACCCACAAGAAAGAAACACACACACACACACACACGCACAUAUUUGUUUCUGUAACUAUCUGAAACUUGGUUAGCAUUAACAGAUUUAUUAAUAAGCAUCUUCUGCCUGUGGUUCAAGACAAGUAAACAAUCCAGUCUGAAUUGUGUGACUCUUUCAUUCAUUUCUUCAUUCAGCUUCAGUAACCGCUUCAUCCAGGUCAUUGUCACAGUGAAUGUGAGGCAGUACUACACCCUGAAUGAGAUGCCAUUCCAUUACAGGACACCAUGUAUACACAUCCACAUAAUCUUUCACUCUUAGAGCAAUUUAGGAUAGGCAAUCCAACUUUUGGCAUGUUUUUGGAAGUGAGAUUAGUGCAGAGAAUCCAAGGAAAACUCAUGCUGACACAGGGAAGAUGCAAGACACAGAAAAAAACUGUAGUUCGAGGACAUUAAACAUUGCUAAAAAGCGCAAGCCCUUUUCAGGCAGCCAUGUUUACACCUGUAACACAGAGAGUCCAAAGAUUUGCAUAGUCAAUGAUUUCCUUAAUCAUUCACUCAACCCAAACAAGCAUGCCAUUGCAAUAAAACUGCAGGCAACAUGAACAACAGGGAAGAGCAGAGGAUUCGAUAUGAGUGGUGGAGCAAUGUAACCCGAGGUUUGGGCCUCCCUUGGGCAGAUGGCUCUUUUGAUAACUAUGUCUCUAGGCCCCAUCUCCAUAUUCUGGCUUUGUGUUACCAUGGCAAGUGGAUAUGUAAUGGAGUUUGCCGCUUAUUAAAUUUGCCAUCUUACAAAAGAGAGGCUCUACCCUCAAAAUGAUGAGCAAAACCAGAGCUCGCUUGAGUUUUGUUAUCACAGGUUGCUUGGCUGCGUGUGUUACAUUUUCCCCAUGCACUGCACUCUAAUUAACCUAUUAACUUAUCUACUGUGCACUGUUCUACCCUGUCCUCCCUUCAAGUAGAGUUUUGGAACAAAAUCCAGUUAAGUUUUUCACACACACCCCUUUUCCAAUAACCCCACCCCCCUUCCUUCUUUGAUCUCAUGACAAUAUUGGCACACUACAGGAAGCUCAGCUGAAUCCUGACAUGCCUUCCAGCAGUUUGCAAGACACAGUACAAAAAAGAAGAAAGUUAGUACAAAUUCAGGCCAAAGUGAUGGAACACACCAGAGGAUUCAGUGAUGACUCUGAAAGACCAGGAAACACAGAUGCAAUUUUUUCUUUUAAUUGGAAUUAUAAUAUUAAAACAAACAAACAAACAUUCGCUGUAAGGUAUUGUGACUUGAAAUUAGAGGAGCAUGAAAAAUGAUGCUAGAUGAAAUAUAUGAAUUUCAUAAUUCUUUGAUUAAUGCAGGAUAAGUGAGAGGCUUCAGUAAUGUAAGAGUAAAUUGAUAUCAAUAACCGUAUUGCAGCUGUGGUCUCACAGAUGGAAGUGCUCCCAGUCACGCACUCUGACUUAUGAAGAAAAUUAGGCCUAGGGCAUGAUGCCUGUCCUUGCAUUUUUUGUGGACCUGCUUCCUGCAUUUUCAUUGUCUGUCAUUUUUUCUCAUACAAAACACAGACGCUCAGUGGGGCAUCUUACUUCCUACAAUCAUUUUGUGUCAUCUUGCAUGACUGAACUUGAAGAAACAGCAUCAUAAAUGGUGUAGACUCCUUGCUUUGUGUAAUAUGAAGGUUUUUUAAAAAUCUUUUAACAUUUUAUUUCCUAAUAAACUCUCUCCCUCUCUCUC